rnacentral:rRNA from 1 species
CCUACGGGAGACAGCAGUGAGGAAUAUUGGGCAAUGGACGAGAGUCUGAACCAGCCAAGUAGCGUGAAGGAUGACUGCCCUAUGGGUUGUAAACUUCUUUUAUAAAGGAAUAAAACGAGGCACGUGUGCCGUUUUGCAUGUACUUUAUGAAUAAGGAUCGGCUAACGCCGUGCCAGCAGCCGCGGUAAUACGGAGGAUCCGAGCGUUAUCCGGAUUUAUUGGGUUUAAAGGGAGCGUAGAUGGGUUGUUAAGUCAGUUGUGAAAGUUUGCGGCUCAACCGUAAAAUUGCAAUUGAUACUGGCAGUCUUGAGUACAGUUGAGGUAGGCGGAAUUCGUGGUGUAGCGGUGAAAUGCUUAGAUAUCACGAAGAACCCCGAUUGCGAAGGCAGCUUACUAAACUGUGACUGACAUUGAUGCUCGAAAGUGUGGGUAUCAAACAGGAUUAGAUACCCGAGUAGUC